UCCGGUGUGGUUUAGUUGGCUAUAAUACCUCUGCUGCGCUAGUACGGUUCGUUCAAAGUCCAGUAUUCGCAGUGGGUCACCGUUUGCAGUUGGCGGCGGCGACAAGGGAGACCUGAGUUCGAUCCUCAGCGCUGGAC